GGGUUGUGAGGUUAAGCGACCAAGCGUACACGGUGGAUGCCCUGGCAGUCAGAGGCGAUGAAGGACGUGCUAAUCUGCGAAAAGCGCCGGUAAGGUGAUAUGAACCGUUAUAACCGGCGAUGUCCGAAUGGGGAAACCCAGUGUGACUCGUCACACUAUCAUUAACUGAAUCCAUAGGUUAAUGAGGCGAACCGGGGGAACUGAAACAUCUAAGUACCCCGAGGAAAAGAAAUCAACCGAGAUUCCCCCAGUAGCGGCGAGCGAACGGGGAGGAGCCCAGAGCCUGAAUCAGCAUGUGUGUUAGUGGAAGCGUCUGGAAAGGCGCGCGAUACAGGGUGAGAGCCCCGUACACAAAAGCGCAUAUGCUGUGAGCUCGAUGAGUAGGGCGGGACACGUGGUAUCCUGUCUGAAUAUGGGGGGACCAUCCUCCAAGGCUAAAUACUCCUGACUGACCGAUAGUGAACCAGUACCGUGAGGGAAAGGCGAAAAGAACCCCGGCGAGGGGAGUGAAACAGAACCUGAAACCGUGUACGUACAAGCAGUGGGAGCCUCUCUUUAUGGGGGGUGACUGCGUACCUUUUGUAUAAUGGGUCAGCGACUUAUAUUCUGUAGCAAGGUUAACCGCAUAGGGGAGCCGAAGGGAAACCGAGUCUUAAUUGGGCGUUAAGUUGCAGGGUAUAGACCCGAAACCCGGUGAUCUAGCCAUGGGCAGGUUGAAGGUUGGGUAACACUAACUGGAGGACCGAACCGACUAAUGUUGAAAAAUUAGCGGAUGACCUGUGGCUGGGGGUGAAAGGCCAAUCAAACCGGGAGAUAGCUGGUUCUCCCCGAAAGCUAUUUAGGUAGCGCCUCGUGAAUUCAUCUCCGGGGGUAGAGCACUGUUUCGGCUAGGGGGCCAUCCCGGCUUACCAACCCGAUGCAAACUGCGAAUACCGGAGAAUGUUAUCACGGGAGACACACGGCGGGUGCUAACGUCCGUCGUGAAGAGGGAAACAACCCAGACCGCCAGCUAAGGUCCCAAAGUCAUGGUUAAGUGGGAAACGAUGUGGGAAGGCCCAGACAGCCAGGAUGUUGGCUUAGAAGCAGCCAUCAUUUAAAGAAAGCGUAAUAGCUCACUGGUCGAGUCGGCCUGCGCGGAAGAUGUAACGGGGCUAAACCAUGCACCGAAGCUGCGGCAGCGACACUUUAGUGUUGUUGGGUAGGGGAGCGUUCUGUAAGCCGUUGAAGGUGUCCUGUGAGGGGUGCUGGAGGUAUCAGAAGUGCGAAUGCUGACAUAAGUAACGAUAAAGCGGGUGAAAAGCCCGCUCGCCGGAAGACCAAGGGUUCCUGUCCAACGUUAAUCGGGGCAGGGUGAGUCGACCCCUAAGGCGAGGCCGAAAGGCGUAGUCGAUGGGAAACGGGUUAAUAUUCCCGUACUUGGUGUUACUGCGAAGGGGGGACGGAGAAGGCUAUGUUGGCCGGGCGACGGUAGUCCCGGUUUAAGCGUGUAGGCUGGUUUUCCAGGCAAAUCCGGAAAAUCAAGGCUGAGGCGUGAUGACGAGGCACCACGGUGCUGAAGCAACAAAUGCCCUGCUUCCAGGAAAAGCCUCUAAGCAUCAGGUAACAUCAAAUCGUACCCCAAACCGACACAGGUGGUCAGGUAGAGAAUACCAAGGCGCUUGAGAGAACUCGGGUGAAGGAACUAGGCAAAAUGGUGCCGUAACUUCGGGAGAAGGCACGCUGACACGUAGGUGAAGUGAUUUACUCAUGGAGCUGAAGUCAGUCGAAGAUACCAGCUGGCUGCAACUGUUUAUUAAAAACACAGCACUGUGCAAACACGAAAGUGGACGUAUACGGUGUGACGCCUGCCCGGUGCCGGAAGGUUAAUUGAUGGGGUCAGCGCAAGCGAAGCUCCUGAUCGAAGCCCCGGUAAACGGCGGCCGUAACUAUAACGGUCCUAAGGUAGCGAAAUUCCUUGUCGGGUAAGUUCCGACCUGCACGAAUGGCGUAAUGAUGGCCAGGCUGUCUCCACCCGAGACUCAGUGAAAUUGAACUCGCUGUGAAGAUGCAGUGUACCCGCGGCAAGACGGAAAGACCCCGUGAACCUUUACUAUAGCUUGACACUGAACAUUGAGCCUUGAUGUGUAGGAUAGGUGGGAGGCUUUGAAGCGUGGACGCCAGUCUGCGUGGAGCCGACCUUGAAAUACCACCCUUUAAUGUUUGAUGUUCUAACGUGGACCCGUAAUCCGGGUUGCGGACAGUGUCUGGUGGGUAGUUUGACUGGGGCGGUCUCCUCCUAAAGAGUAACGGAGGAGCACGAAGGUUGGCUAAUCCUGGUCGGACAUCAGGAGGUUAGUGCAAUGGCAUAAGCCAGCUUGACUGCGAGCGUGACGGCGCGAGCAGGUGCGAAAGCAGGUCAUAGUGAUCCGGUGGUUCUGAAUGGAAGGGCCAUCGCUCAACGGAUAAAAGGUACUCCGGGGAUAACAGGCUGAUACCGCCCAAGAGUUCAUAUCGACGGCGGUGUUUGGCACCUCGAUGUCGGCUCAUCACAUCCUGGGGCUGAAGUAGGUCCCAAGGGUAUGGCUGUUCGCCAUUUAAAGUGGUACGCGAGCUGGGUUUAGAACGUCGUGAGACAGUUCGGUCCCUAUCUGCCGUGGGCGCUGGAGAAUUGAGGGGGGCUGCUCCUAGUACGAGAGGACCGGAGUGGACGCAUCACUGGUGUUCGGGUUGUCAUGCCAAUGGCACUGCCCGGUAGCUAAAUGCGGAAAAGAUAAGUGCUGAAAGCAUCUAAGCACGAAACUUGCCCCGAGAUGAGUUCUCCCUGAGACUUUGAGUCUCCUGAAGGAACGUUAAAGACGAUGACGUUGAUAGGCCGGGUGUGUAAGCGCAGCGAUGCGUUGAGCUAACCGGUACUAAUGAACCGUGAGGCUUAACCUUACAACGCCGAAGCUGUU
rnacentral:rRNA from 1 species